GUCGAUUCACUUCUGCAUGAACCCAGUCGCUGAUGCGAAGUGCAGAGCUCAGCGCUGUUAGAGAAUCCGCGAGGCCUCUGUGACUGCGCAUGCUCCGAGCUCCAGUCCUACGACCUCCUUGGAGGGAAGACGACCCCCAACGCUAGCGCAAGGGGACGGAGGUGGUUGUGGGUUUUGUGCCUGCAGAGGUACAAUCAAUAGUCUUUUGGCUCCAGAGUCCAUUUAACAUCUCAGCAAUUAAGUCACAGGAACCCUCCGAAGCACCACCCUCUAAAUCGCAGCUGUAUGUACUAAGGGAUAUGUAAUGAGAGCACAAGUUUGUGGACAGCGGGUCAACCGUGACAAACAGGAUUCUUGGAGAACGAGGAGAGUUCAGUGCAGUUGCCAGAGUUGACAUGCAGUGUGUUUCCCGUGAUUGGUGUGGAUCUCAGUUGACAUGCAGUGUGUUUCCCGUGAUUGGUGUGGUUCUCAGGGGCUUGCUUUAAAUUUGGGCAGUGUUAAACGGUUGCUAUUUCUAUGCUGGUGCUUGUACCAUAAUCAUAUAAGAUGGUGAAAUAGGUGUGGGCCUUAAGACCUUAAGGAAUUUAAGAUCCAAUUUUUUAAACUGUAAAAUAUCUAAUAUGUUAUAUCUUUAAGAUUUGAUCUUUUAAGAUGCUUGAGUUAAGUGAAACUGAUAAGAAACUGCUAUUUCUCUAGUUUUUAAGAAUUUAUGGAGUGAUCUAUAAUACCUCAGGAAGAGCUGUUCCUUUUGAGCUGAAGAACAUAUUGCAUUUCCUGUUUCAUUGCAGAGAUAUUUCCCUACUUGAAAAUGCUAUCGUCUUUUCAUCCACACAAAAAUUGUGAAACAGAGGGGGCCGGGGCCAGCAAGGAAGUUAUAAAGAAAAGUAAUUUCACAUUAGUUGGGCUGGAAACCAGUAGCUUAAUUUUAAUAUGACCAAGUGGAUUAUUUGUUAUUUAUAUCUGUUUUAAGAGUAAUAACUAAAUAUUGCCUUCAGAAAUAGAUGAUUUAAAGUAUAUUUAUGUAUUGCCUAAAUGAUUAAGUAUAAUCACCAAACAGCUUUUUGAAAUGUAUCAUUGUACAUAGACAUUUCCAGAAAAUUAGUGUUCUGUGAAUUUUCUGUAUUUCAUUAUAAGUAAGGUAUUCUCUAACUAUUGAAAAAUAAGUAUGACUUUUCUAUUUUUCACACCCUCUCAGUUUCCUUUUUGAUAAUAACACAUUUGUAUUUCUUCUAUUACAUAUAGAAGUAAAGAUAAAUAUUUGGGAUAAAUGUGGAAGGGACAGAAAUAAUCACGUCUUUUAAGUAACUUGCAGUACUCUUUUUAGUUGGUAUAAAAACCAAACACUCAUGAAGAAAUAGAGGUAUUUAAAGCCAAUAAGAAAUUAUUGGAAAUAGUAUUGAGGGAUUCUGGCUUCAAGUAUGGUAUGGACUCAGUUUCAAGGAGGAAGUGAAGUUGAAUCUGUGCUUUGAAGGAUAAGUUGCUUAACAUCAUGGAGGUAGAGGGCAUUUCAGGUGGGAGAGGAAAGCAAAAAGCCUAAAGAGCAGUGGAGACAAGAAUGAGGAAGGCACAUGGUGAGGAUGGUGGAGAGAGGGAUCAGCUUGGAGAAGACAGCGUUUGCUGGGACUAAGGAGGAUAGUGGGAAGGAAGAUUUUCCGGAGAAUGUACUGUGGUUAUGAAGACCCUAAAAACCAAGCAAAAGCAUCUCGAUGCAGUGUAAUAAGCAACAGCAAGACAUUGAUAUUGAGUAGUUUCUUCAGUCUCAAUAUUUGCAUAUAAAUUGCAUAUAAAUUUUUUCUAAUACUUAAUAGAAACUAAAAUCAAACCUCUAUUCUUGUUUUCAUCAACUUAAAAUUUUCAUUUCAAAUGAAAGUUUCCCCUUUAUUAUUUAAAGGAUUGAAAUAAAACCCUAAUCUAGAACAUAUGGAAAAACAUCUCUGAAUACAUCAUAGGAAAAAUGACUCCUGGAAUAAUUGCAGUUAUGAUUUUAAUAGGGUAGAAGGAUUGCAUUGCAUUGUUCCGGAAAGCUAAACAAGACUUACGCAUGCCAGUCUUUUAGUAAUAAGGAUGACGGUACAGAGCAAAGGAAAAAAACUGGUGAGUACUCGCAACGUUGGCAUUUGUGGCUGUGGACGGGCAUAUCGGGAGUUACUGUCUACCGUGGGGAGCCAGGAGCAGGAGUCGGUCGAGAACUUACUAGCUCUUCUCCACACUCAGAAACAGGCCACACACAAUGCUGAACACCAGGUUGCAUGUCAAGUGCCUUCUGACUCACUCCUUAGUAUGGAGAAUGGUGAUAAAUAAUGCAAAUUUCCAUUUUCAAGAACAUUUGCCCUAUUUCACUCUAUCUCCUUAGCCUUUCAUCUCUAAUCUGAAGAAAGCAGGAUAGGUGAAACUUGCUUAGCAUACAGUUAAUGAUUAGCAGAAGAACCAGGAUUCAACUUUAGCUUAUUCUGAUUUCGAAUCUGGAAGUUGACUUUGUAACAAGCAUCUUAUGUAACACGCAUCGUAUGCACAUUGCUUUGGUUUUCUGUGUCUACAUAAACCAAUAAGGUAAUUUAGUGUCCUUGCAGAAGAAGAAACUCUGCGAUGAAAAUUGGAACUGAAACUAAACACAAGUUUUGAUGAAAGAUUGCUUUGACAAGAUUUAUUGUUGUUACUAUGGACCUCAAGCACGCCACAUUUUGUACAGAGAAGAUAUUCUGUGUGAAUAACUCAGUAAUUAUUAUAAUGUUGAAAAAUGUUCUCUCAACAAUAAGUUCCUCAUUUUAAAUAAGAGAAAACAUAUUGAUUGAAGUGACCAAGGAGAAGUAUCCCAAUAUCAUGAGAAAAUAUUUACUUUAUUGAUAACAAAAAUAUUAGUUGCUUUCAGAAAUAUUUUUUGGCAAAAUAAGGGUCUGAAUAUAACCAUUUCAGUUAUUUAGUUAUUACAGUCUAGAGUCUAGAGUUUAGUUCACAUUUUCUGAAGCAAAUUAAUAUGAACGCAUGUUGAAUUGAGCAGGAUUACUUUUGAAGGACUUUGGGAUAUGGUAAGGAAAGUUUCUUCUUGCUUCCUUUGUACUGUAAAGCAGUAAACAUAAUUCUCUGACCUGUAAGUUAAAAAUAGUCUGGUAUAAAGUCAUGAGGAAAUGGUUUCUUCCUUGAAGUAGAGGAAUGCACUUCAGCAAUAAGCUUAUGCUAAUCUCUACUUUCAUGCUAUUUGGUGGAACAAAUCAAUGCGUUGCCUGGUAAUUGGCUUCCAAUUAAUUCUCCAUUUAGUUUUGACACAGGACUCUUUGGGUACAAAGGGACAAGCUUAACUUUGAGCCUGCGAUUACGGGGAUUAUGCUGUGCUAAGGGAAUUUUAAAAUUUGGAACUGACAUACUGAUAUAAGCAAGGGACAUACCACUUAGGGCAAGCUGGGGAUAGGUGAGGGUGGAAUCAAAAUCACUGCAAAGAGAAAGGAAUCUGGUUUUGGAGAUUUACAAUGGAAAUUGGCCCUACUUAAGGAUGCUGGGACUUGAAUAAAUUGUGCUAUAGAUUUGACCCUGUGGAUUUAUUGUAAAACCGAACAAAACCAAAACAAAAAAAAACCCAAAAAUCAAUUAACCGAGACAAUCCAUAUGCUUAAACCAGUCCUACAAUUCAGACCAUGUUUCACAAGCAGAAAUGAAUUCGCAAGCAUGAUUUUUACAUGGGUAUGUCUAAUGGUAGAGUAUGGGACUACAUUUAGUUUUUAGUAGUGUGAAUUUCUGUCUUUCUUUGGUCUCUUUUCCAUGCCUUGCAUCGUAAGUUUUAGAGGAGUGGAGGAAAAAUUAAAUCUUCACUUAAUUUUCUGGUGCCAGUAUAUUUAAAAUUCUAGCAGGAGGCAACUCUUCCUUAUCUAAUAUUUAACUACUUUCUAUGAUAUUUAUAUUUUUUCCUUCUACCUUAUGAGUUAAAUAUAUAAAUCCUUAUAUUGCUAUGCUUGUUAUAGGUGCCAAGUAUGUGUGUGUGUAUCUAUAUUUGACACCUGUAACAUACCCAAAAAAGAAGUAACUAACCAUUUCACCAACAAGCCCUUUCUGUUGGCUUCUUCAUUUGGUUAAGGACAUUAUCUCAGUGACUCAUGACUCUCUUCCUCUGCUUGCUUAUUAAAGAAUUUGUUGUAGCCUGAGGACUGUACUGCUUCGUGCCCUCUUUCAUCUGUUUCUUUCUUUUUAUUCCCACUGCUGGAAUCAAGUUCAGGACUUCGCCACCUCUAGCCUGGAUUAUUGAUUUGCUUUCUAACAGGAUGCCAUUAUCUCAAUAAUAACUGAUGGAACUGAGAAAGAUACAUUUUUCUUUCUUUCUGUUGUGUUUAGAUUUGCUCUAAACUUGUAAUAUUUUUGCUAAAAAGUAUCAGUGAUUACCCAUCAUUAGCGGUGAAGCUGGCUGUAGACUUCUUUUUCUGACGCUCAAGUCAGCCCCGAAGUUGUCCAUUUUUUCUUUUAAUCUCCUUUUCCUCUAUUGCGCUAAACAGCUGCCAAACUCAUUGCUAUUUCAUGAACAUGCCUUACCAAAGACUUGCAUGGUGCAGUUUGCACCCUGAUGUUGCCACCACCUGGAGUGUGCUCUUCCUUUUCUCUUGCCCCAGUUCUGUUUACUUGACAUGUGUUCUAGAUACAUUCUUUAUGAAAUAUUUCUGAUUUUUCUAAACAAGAUGUGAUCAGUUUUUCCUCUGCACCAUCAUAACUGUGUAAACAACUUCCGUGCCGGAUUUUUGUUUGCUCUUUUCUAUUACAGCUUUAAUUUUUUCUUGUUUCUCCUUUUAGACUGUAAAAAUACUGGGGAAAAAGAACUGUAUUUUAUUAUUUCCUGUAUCUUCUAUCUAGUGUAUGUCUCCAUGCCUUGUAUAAAAUGGGAACUCUGUAAACGUUUGUUAGAUUGAGAGUAAUUUGUCACAGAUAUAUAUACAUAAAAUUGAUGUAAUGUACUCUGAAGUACACCGCCAGGAAGGAAUAUUUACAAUACACAUGAAGGUACAACUUAAAAAAAAAGGUAUAUUUUGUUUUUCAAACAAUCUUGGUUGAUGAUAGGUCUUCUGAAUGGUAGUCUAUGGUCUUGCUGGUUCAAACAAAAUAAAAUCCUCUCAAACUCC